rnacentral:piRNA from 1 species
UGGGAGCUGUGACUGUGGACUUUGCUCUC